UUAUGGCCACAUCACAAUGAAACACUGAUUCUCAUAUGAUCACUGAAGUUAAGCAAUGUUAAGCCUGGUCAGACCAAGAUUGAUGACCACUUGGGAAUACCAGGUGUUGUAA